GACGAACGCUGGCGGCGUGCUUAACACAUGCAAGUCGAACGGAAAGGCCCUGCUUUUGUGGGGUGCUCGAGUGGCGAACGGGUGAGUAACACGUGAGUAACCUGCCCUUGACUUUGGGAUAACUUCAGGAAACUGGGGCUAAUACCGGAUAGGAGCUCCUGCUGCAUGGUGGGGGUUGGAAAGUUUCGGCGGUUGGGGAUGGACUCGCGGCUUAUCAGCUUGUUGGUGGGGUAGUGGCUUACCAAGGCUUUGACGGGUAGCCGGCCUGAGAGGGUGACCGGCCACAUUGGGACUGAGAUACGGCCCAGACUCCUACGGGAGGCAGCAGUGGGGAAUAUUGCACAAUGGGCGGAAGCCUGAUGCAACAGCGCCGCGUGCGGGAUGACGGCCUUCGGGUUGUAAACCGCUUUCGCCUGUGACGAAGCGUGAGUGACGGUAAUGGGUAAAGAAGCACCGGCUAACUACGUG
rnacentral:rRNA from 1 species